AGAAAAAAAACUAGCGCAUUUUGUCACGUUGAUCAACGCGACAACAAGAGAACUUUAUGCCAAAGAGACUUUAUCCAUCAGGAGCUGAAAAAAGAUGAAGAAUUUAAACAUCAGUCACAAGUUUCUUCCCAGCCAACAGUUUCUUCUGCUCUCAAAAAGUAUUGGAGGUGGUGCAGCGUCCACAUCCCAAGAUGUUCCUGACAUCACUGAAGAUGUCAUCUCAGCUGCAGAAGAAACUCCUGUCACCACAUCUUCUGUUGAAAGGGAAAACGUUGAUGCUGCUGCUGGUAAGUUUGGUCCAGCUGAACGGCCAACCACUCUCUGAUCCAGUAUGAAUGGAUUUGGUGCAAAGAGGUCCUUUUCAGACGGAUAAAGACGCUGACUUUCCAAAAUCCCCAUCAUUGAGCUGUUGUGUUCUUUAUUUUGGAUUGUUUUAUUGUUAUUUGAUUUUCUAUU